rnacentral:rRNA from 1 species
UACAGAGGUCCCGAGCGUUGUUCGGAUUUAUUGGGCGUAAAGGGUGCGUAGGCGGCGGAGUAAGUUGGGUGUGAAAUCCCGGGGCUUAGCCUCGGAAUUGCAUUCAAUACUGCUUCGCUUGAGUACUGGAGAGGAGGCUGGAAUUUACGGUGUAGCAGUGAAAUGCGUAGAUAUCGUAAGGAAGGCCGGUGGCGAAAGCGAGCCUCUGGACAGUUACUGACGCUGAUGCACGAAGGCCAGGGGAGCAAACGGG